rnacentral:tRNA from 2 species
GUAGGUAUAGUUUAACAAAAACAUUAGAUUGUGAAUCUAACAAUAGAUGACCCAAACCUCUUAUCUACC